CAGUCGCCACGGUAAUACGAAGGGUGCAAGCGUUACUCGGAAUUACUGGGCGUAAAGCGUGCGUAGGUGGUGGUUUAAGUCCGUUGUGAAAGCCCUGGGCUCAACCUGGGAAUGGCAGUGGAUACUGGCAAGCUAGAGUGUGUCAGAGGAUGGUGUAAUUCCCGGUGUAGCGGUGAAAUGCGUAGAGAUCGGGAGGAACAUCAGUGGCGAAGGCGGCCAUCUGGGACAACACUGACGCUGAGGCACGAAAGCGUGGGGAGCAAACAGGAUUAGAGACCCCCGUAGUCCCUGUCUCUUAUAC
rnacentral:rRNA from 1 species